rnacentral:rRNA from 1 species
UACGUAGGUGGCAAGCGUUGUCCGGAAUUAUUGGGCGUAAAGCGCGCGCAGGCGGUUUCUUAAGUCUGAUGUGAAAGCCCCCGGCUUAACCGGGGAGGGGCAUUGGAAACUGGUAGACUUGAGUGCAGAAGAGGAAAGUGGAAUUCCAAGUGUAGCGGUGAAAUGCGUAGAGAUUUGGAGGAACACCAGUGGCGAAGGCGACUUUCUGGUCUGUAACUGACGCUGAGGCGCGAAAGCGUGGGGAGCAAACAGG